CAGACUCACCCCUCAGUGCUGCCCAGGAUGUAAACCCACACAGUGCCUGACAAAGGUGCCACCUUUGGAGCAACCCCGCACACCUAUUAUAGAUGAUGGAGUGUGAAGCGGAGACGUGACUAAUGAACAAGGAGCAUUAUCAGUUUGACCGUACCUGCAGCAGUGGAGAGAAGCCUCCUGGGUGAGCCAGAUACCUACAUGAUGAAGGCCAGAUGAAUCCCCCUGUAGCAGUGAAAGGAACCCCCCUGGGUGAGCAAGAUACCCACAUGAUGAAGGCCAGAUGAAUACCCCUGUAGCAGUGAAAGGAACCCCCUGGGUGAGCCAGAUACCUACAUGAUGAAGGCCAGAUGAAUACCCCUGUAGCAGUGAAAGGAACCCCCUGGGUGAGCCAGAUACCUACAUGACGAAGAUCACAUGAAUCCCCCUGUAGCAGUGAAAGGAACCCCCUGGGUGAGCCAGAUACCUACAUGAUGAAGGCCAGAUGAAUACCCCUGUAGCAGUGAAAGGAACCCCCCUGGGUGAGCCAGAUACCUACAUGACGAAGAUCACAUGAAUCCCCCCUGUAGCAGUGAAAGGAACCCCCCUGGGUGAGCCAGAUACCUACAUGACGAGGGCCACGUCACCCCACCCCAGUUACUGAUGGUGUCAUUCCUUCAAGUGAAGAUGAAAACAGCCACAAACUAUCUGAAGAUAAUUACUGAAAGCACAGAAGAUUUCCUGCACAAACUGCUUUCAGUGGGACAAUUGCAACCAGCGAGUUGAAGCAAUUCUCAACUAGAACAACAUUCACAUUUAAAGAGCGUGAAAUUGAACAAAAAUACAUCAUACAACAUCGGAUAUAUUGUGGACGGCCAAUGGCAUGAUCUCUAGCAUGGACUAAAACUGGAACAAGCUU